rnacentral:rRNA from 1 species
AUUCGUAGGGGGCGAGCGUUGUCCGGAAUGAUUGGGCGUAAAGGGCGCGUAGGCGGCCCGGUAAGUCUGGAGUGAAAGUCCUGUUUUUAAGAUGGGAAUUGCUUUGGAUACUGUCGGGCUUGAGUGCAGGAGAGGUAAGUGGAAUUCCCAGUGUAGCGGUGAAAUGCGUAGAGAUUGGGAGGAACACCAGUGGCGAAGGCGACUUACUGGACUGUAACUGACGCUGAGGCGCGAAAGUGUGGGGAGCAAACAGGAUUAGAUACCCUGGUAGUCCACACUGUAAACGAUGAAUGCUAAGUGUAGGGGGUAUCGACCCCUUCUGUGCCGCAGUCAACACAAUAAGCAUUCCGCCUGGGGAGUACGGCCGCAAGGUUGAAACUCAAAGGAAUUGACGGGG